rnacentral:rRNA from 1 species
UACAGAGGUGACAAACGUUGUCCGGAAUUAUUGGGCGUAAAGAGCUCGUAGGUGGUUUGCUGCGUCCGCUGUGAAAACCCAAGGCUUAACCUUGGGCUUGCAGUGGAUACGGGCAGACUAGAGGUAGGUAGGGGAGAGUGGAAUUCCCGGUGUAGCGGUGAAAUGCGCAGAUAUCGGGAGGAACACCGGUGGCGAAGGCGGUUCUCUGGGCCUUACCUGACACUGAGGAGCGAAAGCGUGGGGAGCGAACAGG